GUGAUCAAGGGCUGAUUUCUAGUGAAGUCAUAUUCCUUACCAAGCAAGUGUAUCAGGCAGGAGUAAGCUCAAGACCUCAACAUCAAAACAUUUUUGUAUAGCAUUGUAAUUUUGACCCUGGAGACAAAAUUCAGUUCAAGUCUUGCUUCACAGGGAUGCAGAAGGAAGAACUUCUUGCAUAAUUUUUUCAAAGGCCUGUGAUGCCUGGAUUCUAGUACAUCAUAGCAGAUGAUGGAUCAUCUGGGAAGGGAAAGGCAGAGACCAUGAUUAUGAAUCUUGAUUUUGAGAAGAAAGAGGAAUGCCUCUUGAAUGUACUGAUGUGCAUGAAAGCCAUCCAAGUUGAAUGCCGGUGGCACAGAGAUGUUAUCUAAGUAAGUGGGACAAGGAAGAUGAGAUAGAGAAAUUGAGACUAGACAUUGUUGCUGCAGCAAAAACAAAAGGCUACUUCUGAAUGCUGACACUUGCUGGGAAGGGAAAGACAGACAAGUAAUUGGGAAGGAAAGCCAAGUGAUACUAGGAAUUGGUGAUGAGGAGAGAUACCAUAAAGAUCAGCACUUGGUGGAAAACAAACGAAUGCUUAAGUUUGGUGAAGUAAUGCUUGAUCCCAUGGAAUUAUGGUGUCUCAUUAUAUUUCCUUAACACUUGUGACUUAAAAUUAUACAGUUAAGUACAGUUAACUGUUUAACUGCCUUUUAAAGGCAGUUAACUGUAGCCUUUCCUUACAUGGCACUUUAAAAGACUGCCUUUUGUGGGGUAUUACCCAUAUGUAUGUGAAUUGUUUCCUAUCUGUCCAUUUCCAUCAUCUGAGUUGUAAUGCCUGGAGGGAUAUUCUCUACUAUAUCACAGCUGAGAGUAAAGAAAGUGUUCAUGUGUGUUGGCAGUGGUAAGAGCGCUACAGAAAAGUGCUUUAACACAACCAUUUCUGUAGAAAACUGAUCUUCCCUCCAAUAUUUUAAAAUAAUAAAAAAAGCACUAUAAAAUCAUUAAAUAAUUAGCAGUACAUUUUGGAAAGAAACCUGAAUUAUUUAAAAAGAAGAGGGGGAAGAAAUAUCAUAGCAGACUCUUAAAAAUCUCAAAUAAAAUACAGUUACUAACAGAUAAAAAUGUCAUGAACUUUUCUGGCUACAGAAAUUCUUAAGAAGAAUUACAGAAACUGUUGAUGUAAUUUGUUUCAUUUAUUUGUCUUAAUAAAGGCCUCAUUUGUUUCACUAUUAAGAAAUUUUUAAUUGGCUCAUAUAUGCCAUUUGUUUAGACUUUGUUUCACAUGCUUAACUGCCAAAGGGUGUCCCAAAGUUCCAUUGUUUCAGAGAGGAGAAAAAGCCUUUAGAAAUAAUUUCUCAGUCCUUUCAAUGGCAUUAUUUGAAAAAUCUGGGUACAAGGGGACAUGAAAGUUGAAAACCCAAGGCUUCACUGUGCUUCUUACACUUAGGUGUACUUUCAGAUAGUAUCUUCUGAAAAAUAGCUUUAAUCCAUUUGUAUACUGCAUUAGCCUUGAAAUAAAGAGCUGAAGAAUAAGUGAUCCAUUUCUGUACAAAAAACCUUGAUGUCCCCAUAACUUUCCCUCAAAUGCUCAAUCACUUUAAUAUUUUGCCCCUGUUUCCUUGUAUUUAUUUCAGAGUUUAACUCAGAUAUUGCUGCAGGCUACAGAGUUCACCAAUAAACCCCUUCUUUGAAGAAGCACAUUUUCCUGUGAUGGAUACUCAGCACUGAAUAUCGUCUUUGGUUUCCAGGUGGAGCCAUUAUUGAACUUCUUCCACUGAAUUCCCAAAGUUCUUCAGUUGAACUUUGGGCCUUUUCUAGCCCAAACCUUGAACAGCUUCUUAAAAAACCACUGGUGACCAAGUGGUUAGGAAACACAGGGCUAGCAAACUCUACCUGGUUUAUGGAAACUGCUUUACUAGUGUUUACCUUUCCAGGUGAUAACACUGAUAAGGAAUUUCCACUUGUUUUAAACCAGGUACAAGAACCCUUUUACAAAAGUAAUCCACAUUCUCCAUUUAAGUCUUCUGUGUAAUUCUCUGGUGGUAGUGUCAGGCAGGAAUCAUCUGCAAGCCCCACUUCCAGCUCUGCUGUGAUCCCACAGCAGAGAUCCUGAUGUCUCUCAGCUGAACCUUUUACAUUGUUUAAUGCUCACGUUUUUAUGUGGACAAUGGAAAGGGUAACUUUUCUUUCCCCUUGUGUCUUAUACUGAGGGCUCAUUGUAGAAAGGAUCACUUGUAAAAGAUGUCUGAGACCACCUCUUGUAAAUCUCACAGAUUUUAUCUCUGGUCUCUGUUGUGGCUUUAGUGAUUCAGGGAUAGAAUUGACAUCUUUACUUUUGUUUGAUCAAAACAUAAUGUGCUGAGCUCAGAAGUACUAGAUAUUAUUAUUACUAAGAAAAUACUUCGAUUAUUACUAAGAAAAUACUUCCAGAUAUCCAAUGGUUCAGUCACUGUGAGGUAUUGUAUGACAUAUCCCAUCCUUGUCUUUAAAUCAAUAUGUCUGUACUUCCUUGACCCAGUGACUCUUUGGUAUUUUUGUGUUAAGCCUUGAGUAUAUAUCCAGAGACAAAAAACAUGUAAUUCACAGCAGCCUUGGUGCUUGCUAUUGUGAGGAGAAAAUUUGUAUAAUUCCAGCUACCGAACUAACACAAGAAAAUAAGAGAAAAGCAAUGUUUUGUAUUAAUCUUAUUAAACUGCAAACUGCUUUCUCAGCAAUCAGAGCUGUACACUGAUGCAAAUCAGAUGCUUACAUAAUGCUUUAUGCAAGGAUGGUGACAAGAGCUGCAGUGAUAAAAAUACUCUUGCUGUGUUCAGAUUGUGUUGUCCUUUCACUUCAAAAAAACCCCACUGGCAAAUUAACUGCUUGAAAUGGGUAAUUCUAAAGUGUCCCUAGCGUCAAACACAUCUCUGUACUAUGCUGACUUUUCACCUAAUUCUUUUUUUUUUGAUUUCUUGUUUUGUUUUAUUUUCCCAAGGUGCUUUGUGGGGCACACCAAGAGGAACACCUCCUUUUCCAUGCCAAACUUGGGGACAGCUCUCUCAUACUGGAUGCACAUGCCUGCAUUGUGCAGAGUACCACAUGGCUAAGAUUAGGAUGUGGUCUUUAGCUGGCAUGCUGAUGAAAAAGCAACUCCAAAUCUAAACCAUGUGCUCCUUCAUCACUAUGCAUCCUGACUUAAUACAAAUUAUAGCAUUUAUGCCUGGCCAUGCAGUAGCUCUUUUUCAAAACAGCCAUGUCAGGAAUUGGAUUAGAAUCUAAUCUUGAUUCUUUUAAGUUAGUUAGUAUCAAAAUAAGCAUAUGUAUACUAAACACAUCUAAUACCUGCUUAAAUCUCUAAAGAGAUUUUCUCCUCCUAUUUUUUUUUCCUUCUCCCUUAUCCCUUUGCAAAGAUCUAGUCUCUGGCACAUUAAUCAAAUAUAAAGAAUUUGUUGAAAAUCAAUUUAGAACUAAUAAAUGUGAUAUCCUCAUAGAAAUUGUAUUAGAAGAAUUUUGUGUCCAAAUACAUUGUAAAAAUUUAGUGUGAACUUUAUACCUUUCAGAUAUUCAAUAGUAUUGAUGACAGAGAUGGUAGAACUACAGUAACCAACUGAUGAGAGAUAUAAAGAUAUAUCAUAGUAACUCAUUUUUCAUUGCUAGAUGACAUGCAUAAGCAUCAAAGCUGGCUCAAACAGCCUAAAUCAUUUUGAACUGAUUAUUUUGUCCAUGUUUCUUCUCUUAAUCUUACCAUAGUACAAGAUAAGGCAAGCAACAUUUAAUGCUGAGUGAUUCAGUCAAAGUUAGUAGCAAAUUGAAAUAAAAGCUUAUUUGAAUCUUUGUGGUAAUAGCAGAAACAAAACAGAAUGUACUGAGUUUAGGGAAAAACGCUGCAAAUAUUUUUAUACUAAAAAGAGUGUUUAUAAGAAUAGUAAUCUGUAGAAUCUUUUCAAGUACCUGUAGCAUACACCUUUUCAAUAAAAUUGCUACAUAAAUAGUAUAGCUAAGGCCAAGUUGUGAGCAGGGCAGAAUGUGAGAUGGUAAAGAAGAAAUCAUAUCAGUAAUUUGGAUGAUCUUUUCCUUCCCCCAUAUUUCUCCUGGAGUCAUCAAAAGCAAGAGUGCAGAUUUCUUUGGAUGCAAGGAAUGAGAAAUAAAGCACCAAUACCUGCACCAAGCCAGGAAAGGAAACAGGAGAAAGACAACAAAAGAGAAAACAAUGGUUGAAAAUGUACCAGAUAUAUUUGUCCAAAAGCUUAUACUAUCCAUAUAGUAUUGUGGUACAGUAUUGUGGUACAGUAUUGUGACUAUUUGCAUCAUACUGAGAUCAUGCUGUGUUGGCUACUUUUAAAGCACAUAGAAAUGUGAAUAUUUAUGUAAAAUAUUUUGAGCAUUUGAGACAAAGAAGGUUUGGAAGAAAAGCAGGUGGCCAACAUACCUUAGAUUCUGGUUUUGAUUAUGGUACUGAUAUGAUUUAAAUUAUGGUCUGACUGAUGGCCAGAAACAAUGUAUUUUAAAUGUCUAUUUAUGUGUGAAGCAGUUCACCCUAUGUCAGAAUUCUGAUCAGUGGCAGAGCCAGGAAUAGACCCAGGUUACCUGGGAAACUAGUUUAUUUCCUUAUCCUGAGGUUACCAUAUUAUAUAUAUUGUCAUCAUAAAUUAGCUGAAUCAAAUCCUCUCCUACCUCCCUUCAUUUUAGAUAUUUGGGGGCAUUAACUGUAUUUCUACAUUAUCUGACUUCCCAUAGUUGUUCCAGUAUAUUAACACUCUCACCAGAUAAUUUGAUCUCUUCCCCACAGGAGAGUUCUGUGUAAAAUAUUGAAAAACAACCUAAAAAGAAAUGGCAAGUAAAAAUUUGGCAACAGCUGUCAUAUCUUACAUCAAAUGCAUCCUCUAACUCAUGCCACAAAUAAAAAUAAAAUGUUGAUGAGAUUUA